rnacentral:lncRNA from 1 species
UUUUACAGAUACACCAUGAAGCUGCCGACCUGUACCAAAUGCCAUCGCUUGUCUACAAGCUAAAAUUAGAUCUACAGCCAUCACUUCAUUAGGAACCAGCCCACUGCUGAGCAUUUCCCGAUACAUUAUCAAUGCAUCAUUCAACCUUCCUACUUGUACAUACCCAUCAAUUAACGUACCCCAAGAAACCACAUCUUUAUCAGGAAUCCUGUCAAACAAAUCCCUAGCCAAAUCAACAAACCCAGCCUUAGCAUAUCCAUUCAACAUAACAUUCCACGUAACUAUAUUCUUCUCCGCCAUCUCAUCAAAUAACCUUCUUCCGUCCCACAAACACAACGAAACACAAUAUAUAUUCACCAAAUUAGUCAAAACAAGACCAAAACUUGCAAGACCAAUCUUAACAACAAACCCAUGAAUCACAUUCCCAUUCUUAACCCCCUUAAUACGCGAAUAAGCCGAUAUAACACUCGACAUUGUCACUUCAUUAGGCAUAACACCCGCCAACCUCAUAUCCCUAAACAGCUCAACAGCUUCACCCCAACAUUUCUUCUUAGCCAACCCCAUGAUCAUAGUCGUAUACGUAACAGCCCC